AAUGAACGCUGGCGGCAGGCCUAACACAUGCAAGUCGAACGGAUCCUUCGGGAUUAGUGGCGGACGGGUGAGUAACGCGUGGGAACAUACCCUUUGGUACGGAAUAGCCUCGGGAAACUGGGAGUAAUACCGUAUGUGGUCGAGAGACGAAAGAUUUAUCGCCAAAGGAUUGGCCCGCGUUGGAUUAGGUAGUUGGUGGGGUAAUGGCCUACCAAGCCGACGAUCCAUAGCUGGUUUGAGAGGAUGAUCAGCCACACUGGGACUGAGACACGGCCCAGACUCCUACGGGAGGCAGCAGUGGGGGGUCUUAGACAAUGGGGGAAACCCUGAUCUAGCCAUGCCGCGUGAUCGAUGAAGGCCUUAGGGUUGUAAAGAUCUUUCAGGUGGGAAGAUAAUGACUGUACCACCAGAAGAAGCCCCGGCUAACUCCGUGCCAGCAGCCGCCGUAA
rnacentral:rRNA from 1 species